GCGUUAUCCGGGUUCACUGGGUUUAAAGGGCGCGUAGGUGGGAAUGUAAGUCAGUGGUGAAAUCUCUGAGCUUAACUCAUAAACUGCCACUGAUACUAUGUUUCUUGAAUUUUCUGGAGGUCAGCGGAAUAUGUCAUGUAGCGGUGAAAUGCUUAGAUAUGACAUAGAACACCAAUUGCGAAGGCAGCUGGCUACAGCGAUAUUGACACUGAGGCACGAAAGCGUG
rnacentral:rRNA from 1 species